AUUGAACGCUGGCGGCAUGCUUUACACAUGCAAGUCGAACGGUAACAGGCCGCAAGGUGCUGACGAGUGGCGAACGGGUGAGUAAUGCAUCGGAACGUGCCCAGUCGUGGGGGAUAACGCAGCGAAAGCUGCGCUAAUACCGCAUACGAUCUAUGGAUGAAAGCGGGGGACCGUAAGGCCUCGCGCGAUUGGAGCGGCCGAUGUCAGAUUAGGUAGUUGGUGGGGUAAAGGCUCACCAAGCCAACGAUCUGUAGCUGGUCUGAGAGGACGACCAGCCACACUGGGACUGAGACACGGCCCAGACUCCUACGGGAGGCAGCAGUGGGGAAUUUUGGACAAUGGGCGCGAGCCUGAUCCAGCAAUGCCGCGUGCAGGAAGAAGGCCUUCGGGUUGUAAACUGCUUUUGUACGGAACGAAACGGUCCUGGUUAAUACCUGGGGCUAAUGACGGUACCGUAAGAAUAAGCACCGGCUAACUACGUGCCAGCCGCCGCAGUAACAC
rnacentral:rRNA from 1 species